rnacentral:tRNA from 1 species
GGCCUCGUAGCUGAGUUCGUCGAAGCGUUGGCUGUACUAAAGCUUUCCCUUUGCUGGCGUGGGUUCGAAUCACACCGAGACCG